AAAUGCCAAACGAGUGGCAUGUAUGUACAGUCGAGCUUUGGGGUAGUCUGCGCUACAGCAGGAAGACAGAGAGGAGGAGCUUUGGCCUUAAAUGGCUCCAGCUGUUUGCGCGAGCAAGGAAGCAUAGGGACGAACAGAAGACAGCCGCGAGGAGGAGAGAGAGCGGCGGAGGAGCGGGGUGCGAAAAGCUGCAUAUGGAGACAAGAUUGGAAGGGCUGGCGUACGACUGAGUGGCGUUGGCGUUACCAGUCCGGCCCGUAUAAGUAGGAGCGACGGCGAGCCGGAGGUCACACAGCCGAGCACCAAGAUCUCUCUUCCUUCCUCCUCCUCCUCCUCCAAUCCCCCUCUCCGGCCAGCGCGAGCGAGCGAGCUUGAGAGAGGUUGGUACCUGCAGGUAGCCAUGGACGGCCACCGCCACGGGCCGCGCAAGAUUCUGGCGCUCGAGGCGGCGUUCAAGAAAUGGGCCCACCCCGACGUCGCUAAUCUCAGCCGCGAAACCGGCAUGGAGCCCCAGCAGAUCGUAUACUGGUUCCAGACCCGGCGGGCGCACAUCAAGGGAUCUUCAUCGAACACAAGGCCUCCGACCCAGGGAUCUUCAUCGUCAGAUCCUUGAUGCUUUCAUUCCACAACUUCGCCUUCAUGCUGUGACACAGGGAGGCUGAUGGUGGCUGAUGUCCGUCACUAUCGUGGUCUUCCUCAGCUUAGUGUUUAUGUGUGUGUUUCGGCUUGUUAGCCAAGGACCCCCUUCGGGUUUGUAUCGCGCGUGUGUGUGUGUCGGCUCUUGAGCCCACCUGGACCCUAAUGGGUUUGCAUCGUGUUUGUGUUUGUGCGCGCGCACGUGCGUCGGCUCUUGAGCCUUGGACCCUAGAUGGGUUUGUAUCAUGUUUGUGUUGUAUUUCUGUUGCAUUUGAAUUUUAAACCCUGCCACAUUACCCUGAA